CGCACGCACCGCUGCUGUUGGCAGCGCCCAAUCGGUUGACGCCCCCCUCCCCCACACACACUCUCCCCUUCACACCACACACCAUAUCACCUCCCCCCUUCCCUCCCCCGACCUUACAAGGAAGGGCGAGAAAGACAGACAGACUGACCGAGGAGGAGGAAGAGCAAGAGAGAGAGAGCGGUACUGAGCACCGACACGAGACGGGAGCGAAAGCCAUCUCGACGGCGCGUAGAUUCGAUCAUACAGAGAGUGUGCCCUCGCCGCGUGCCUUGCUCUCCACGCCGACGCGCGUGUGUAGUUGUGAGGCGUUGACCGAGGAAAGCAGAAAUCAGUUACCCCCACGCUCUCCCUUGCGCACUCCUUUAAAGUACGUUAGUGACGACGCCAACGUGGUGCUCGCACACGCACCACCACCACCACCACCGACAAAGGAAGCAGUCGCCCCAGCUCCUUUCCUUACUUGCACCGCCGCACAUACCUGCACACUCAGCGAAGAGUGCCUUCAUAAAGCAUCGUUCCUUUGCCUGCCUCAGCACACAUAGAUAGAAUCUCAAGAUACGUAGAAAGGGUCUCGGGCAAACUAGAGGAGACGGUCACUGCCACCUUUAGUGCUGUACCAAUCCUGCUCAGCCCCGCCAUGAGCACCAACGCCCAGGAGCUGGUGCGCCAGCUCACGGAGAACCCAGAGGUUCUGGAGAGCAUGCAGCACAUGAUCUCUCUGCUGCGCGCCAAUCCUCCGCGUAUCUCCGGCAGCAGCAACGGUGGAGGCCUCGGCAGCGUGGAGACCAACGGACCUGAGAGAGGUGCACAGCAGUGUGUGCGACCACCGCGCAGCGAAUAUGGUACUGACGCUGAUUACGGUCAUCACCGGCCCACAACCAGGCGUAAGCUGCACAGCAGUGAUGGCACCGGCCACAGCGCGACCUCCCUGUCUGCGUCGUCGUUGACGCAGGAGGCGCACUCUUUCUAUAGUGACGACAGGGUCGGUGCGCGCACCACCGUCAGUGGUCACAACGCCGCCACCGGCGGCGCAUCUUCGCCGACGCCAACCUUCGUCGCAACAGGAUCCCGCGCAGCGCCUCAAGUGGUGGCUGCGGCCUCACGGCUUGCACCGCGCCGCUCCUCGCUUCUCUCGACGCCGCACGAGCAUCGCCCCGCCACGGCUCCUGAUGAGCAGCUGAUGGCCACGGCCAACAGGCUGACGGAGGCGCAGCGACGCAUUGCAGAGCUAGAAAAGGAACUGCAGCGCACCACGAAACGGGUGGACCAGCUGUCCGAUGUGGUGCAGCGGCAGAAGGACGAGCUACAGGCCACGAAGGAUCGGCAUGCGCUAGAGAUGGAGGAAACACGACACGCCUACAACGCCGUGAUUCACCGCAAAGACGAGGUGCAAGAGGAGGCGCUGCGCCAGCUGCUCAAAUCCCGCCAGCUGAUGGUGUCGGCAGCCAAGUACGAGGCCGUCGUGGCGGCGAAGAAGUUUCACGCUCAGCAGUUGGAAAAGGAGAACAACACCGGCGCCGAUGAUGGGACGGGAAGCGCAAAGGGGUUGGCAGGCGUACAGGCAAGCUCCAACCCCAACGAGCACGGCACUCACCCCGGGCUAGCGCCAAGUCAGACAUCAGUGAACGCGCGGCACUCUUCGACGCUCGGCCACGGGUCGGGCGCGACGGCCAAGUACAACAGUGCUCUGAAGCGUGACCGCCAGAAUGACGAGGAGGACUUUGUUGACGGUGCCGGCGUCGCGACUGGCGCACAAGAGCCUGGUGAGGCGCGAUACGGAGAAGCAACCCACCAACGUCCGCCAAUGAAGCGCACUGCGUUGGACACAUCUCAUCUGCAGGGCAGCGCUGAUCGUGCCGUAGAAGGACGGAGGGGCGUUGUGGCGACCAAGGCGGAGACGUCUCCCGCGUACAUCACCACCCCCACGCCGGUGAGCAAGGCGUCCACCGCGCUCGUCGACCCGCGCACUGAGUCACGCAGCGCACGCAAGCGGCGCACCCCGCGCACGCCGAGCCGCACAAACGCUGAGCGCCUCGCCGGGUCGAUGGCGGAGAACCGAAUCCGCUCGCAGCAGCGCUUGCCCGGGACGGCGUCGCUAAAGAUCGAGAGCCCCACGCCUGUGGUGAGCACGGCGUGGACGGCGGACCGCUCUCUCACGGGCAGUUGUACGCCGCCGCCCUCCAGCGCUGGCAUGUACACGGUGUCCGAGGCGGUGACCAAACAUCAUCAACUGCACCCGCAGCAGCACGUGCAACAAGCUCCGUCCACGCGACCGCCGCUCAUGCAGCGUGCAGCGGGUCGUCUUCCUCCGGCUCCGCACCGCACCGCAGCUGCCCCGACGGCGGUGCCCAACACGCGAAGUGGUACCUCUUCCAUUGCUUCCGGUGGCCCAACGCGGUCACCGUCGCCUGUGAAUCCGAAGCGUGGCGCCAUGCUGCCGCGCCGCUUCAUCUUUACAGGUCUGAAAGACCAUGAACCUCAGCGGCUGGUCAGCGCAAUAGCCGCGGUCGGUGACGAUGCCGCGGCGCUGGCGAGUGACCUCGACGAGCCGCCGCCAAGCAGCACGACUCACGUUGUGCUGCGCGGGACGCCGCGUAGCGUCAAGGCUCUCUGCGGGGUGGUGUCGGGCAAGUGGCUUGUCUCACCCGAAUACGUGUACAACAGCCAGCAAAGUGGCUUCUGGCUAGACGAGCUCGAGGAGGGCGGUCUGCGCAUCUUUCCACCGCCGCUGAAGUGCCAGCGUUUCCUUCUGACUGUUGAGCACCCAAGCAUCCGUGCGAAGCUGGCGCAGGUGAUCGAGUACGGCGGUGGCGAGGUGUUGCCAAGCGGCAGUGACAAGCGUGGCCCUAGCGCCGGCGACAAUGUGGCGCAGGACGUUAUUGUGAUCACCUCUGGCGAUGACCUCUUGCGAUAUGCAACGCAAGACCGCGUGUAACGCGUCAGCUUGGCGAGACCGUGUACCGAGCCCGUCUCGUUGACUGUCCACACUGUGUGCCCGUGUGUGUGUGUGUGUGUGUGUGUGUGUGACGGACUUCAUGGUGAUCCGCAUAGAGUCGUUGCUGUUGAAGAGCGACAUCCGUUUCGCCGCCUCUCUGGCUCUUACUUCUCCUUCUCGUAUUAGCUUUUUUUUCUGUUGUGUGCGUAUGUAUUCGUCGUUCUCGCUCGCUCGCGGUGGUGACGUGCCGCGCCCUUCCUUGCCGGCCGGCGAGGGAGGAGAUGGGGGAUAUUAGGAGACCAUGGGAGGUGUGCUGUAUGCAUGUUACCCUGCCUCGUCCCCUCCCUGCACUGCACACACAUUUCUUCGCGUGUGUGUGUGUGUGUGUGUGUGUGCAUGUGUGUAGCGGCUUUGUGACGGUUUUUUGUUCGCUCAUGUUCUUCCCCGCCAUGCUUGCUUGUUUCGCUAGGCCGGCACACAUUGUUCUCGCAUUCUUCUCUACACCCAAACGAAGACGAACCGACGACGGAGCGCGCGCACGCAUGCGCAUGGAACAGACG
rnacentral:misc_RNA from 1 species